rnacentral:misc_RNA from 1 species
AAAAAGAACACCACACCGACUUCCUGGUUAAGGAAUCCUUGGGCAAGAGAAACAACCACCAACCUGAGAAACAAAUAGCAAGCAAGCAAUAGGGACGAUGACGAUGAGGCUGUCUUCCAUAGCUUUGUGGCUCUCAUCCUUGUUGAUUCUCUCGACUGUGUCUUAUGUCUUUUCUGCACCUCGUUCGCUGCUUCAGAGAUUGUCCGAAAGCAACAAGUACUUGACCACUGAAGAGCUCUGGUUCAAUCAGAUUCUCGAUCACUAUUCUCCUCAUGAUCACCGUCAGUUUAAGCAGCGAUACUAUGAAUUUCUUGAGUAUUUCAGAGUUCCAGAUGGACCCAUUUUUUUGAAAAUUUGUGGUGAAUCUUCAUGCAAUGGCAUAGCCAAUGACUACCUCAGUGUUUUGGCUAAAAAGUUUGGAGCAGCCAUUGUUUCACUUGAGCAUCGUUAUUAUGGUAAAAGCACACCGUUCAAAUCUACUGAGACAAAGAAUUUGAGAUAUCUUUCAUCCAAGCAGGCGCUUUUUGACUUGGCUGUUUUCCGUCAGCAUUUUCAGGAAUCACUAAACUUGAAGCUCAAUAGAACAAAUGUGGAAAAUCCAUGGUUUGUUUUUGGAAUAUCGUACUCUGGAGCUCUCAGUGCAUGGUUUCGUCUUAAGUUUCCACAUUUAACAUGUGGAAGUCUUGCAAGUUCUGCAGUUGUUCAUGCUGUUUACAACUUCACUGAAUUUGAUCAGCAGAUUGGUGAGUCAGCUGGUGCUGAAUGUAAAGCUGCAUUACAAGAAAGUACUCGACUUGUAGAAGAAAGGCUGGCAUCAAACAGAAAUGCAGUAAAAACAUUAUUUGAUGCAGCUGAGCUUGAAAUCGAUGGUGAUUUCCUGUAUUUCCUGGCAGAUGCAGCUGUUACAGCAUUUCAAUAUGGGAAUCCAGAUAAAUUAUGCUCCCCUCUUGUUGAAGCAAAGAAGGCUGGAAAGGAUUUAGUGGAAGCUUAUGCCAAAUAUGUUAAAGAGUGCUACAUGGGAAGUUUUGGCGUCAGUGUUCAAACAUAUAAUCAAAAAAAUUUGAAAGACACUGCUGUUACUGAAAAUAGUUCUGAUCGGUUAUGGUGGUUCCAAGUUUGCACUGAAGUUGCAUUUUUUCAAGUGGCACCCUCAAAUGACAGUAUUCGCUCCUCAAAAGUUGACACUAGGCACUUUUUUAAUCCUUAAUGUUCUGUAUGUUCCAUAUAUGUUUAGAUUCUCUAUAUGUCUAGCAUAUAUAUUAAACAAAAAAAACAGUAGUGUUUGGCUUACUAUACUCCUUUUCUAUCUACAAAAUUGUUAUUCAUGUUGCAGAUACCAUUUGGACCUAUGUAAGAAUGUUUUUGGCGAAGGCAUAUAUCCUGAGGUUGAUGUAACAAAUAUAUACUAUGGGGGCACAAAAAUUGCAGGUCCAGAUGUUGACCAUUUUAUGUUGUUUUAUUCAUUUAUUUAUUUUACUUUUUGUGUCAAAAUAUAUGUAUUGUUCACCGUGCAUGUUCGUCUUAUUUCUGUGUACCAUGUUGGAUGGCUUGUGAUGUAAUUUCUCGCUUUUUUUAAAACAACUAGUUAAGUUUUGAAACGAAAAUUAAAUCCCUGGGUAUUAGACCAAGUUCUUGUUUCCUGAUAAAUGUGUUAUAUCUGCUGAAGAAUAAACUAGUAAAUACUUCAGAAAGAAAGGAUUCUAGUGUGAAGCAUUGGAAGCUUUGUAAGAUAAAAAUUGUGUUGCAUUUAAGUGGAAAAAUUAUUAGUUAUAAAUAUGCUGUUGAUCUUCACUAUAUCGUUGUUGCCUUAACAAAACCACCAUAAAUAUUUGCAUUUAUGAUAGCUUUUGUAUCUUUGCAGGCUCCAAAAUUGUUUUUACAAAUGGUUCCCAAGAUCCUUGGCGUCAUGCAUCAAAACAGAUUUCAUCUCCUGAUAUGCCUUCAUACGUAAUCACUUGUCAUAAUUGUGGUCAUGGUACUGAUUUGCGAGGAUGUCCCCAAGCUCCUUUGAGCCUUGAAGGUAAUGCCCAGAACUGCAGUUCCCCAGAAGCAGUUCACAAAGUAAGGCAGCAGGUCACUGAACAAAUAGACUUGUGGCUGUCUGAGUGCCAUGCCAGUGAUGUUAAGUAGCUCAUCUGAAGGAAUUCAAGCAGACUUCUGUAGCGUAGGUUUUGUUAUGGACUUAUGUAUCAUUUCCUCUAUAAAGGAAUUUGAUUAGAUUUCCAGAGCACCCUGUUUAGGUGUUGUUAUGGUGCAGAAUGAAAGAACACUUCUAGGCGGACCUUUUGCAUGUCCAUAUAAUCUUUACAAUCAAAAUUCCUGUUCAAGUAAUCAUUUCUGGUGCCUCCCAGGAACCAGAAACAGCCAUUCUAAUUGAUCCUUGAGGCUUUCCGUCCAACCAAUACUGCACAACAUCAUUUAUGUGUUGCAUUUAUUUUUCUCAUUGCUGAUCAUAUGUAUAGAACUCAGCUCCAGGAUUACCCACGAUAUAUUAGAACCAGCUUAGGGAUUUAAUACAGUACAAUAGAUUUUUCGGAUUCGGAAGCAUGUCUUAUACAUUGCAGGAUUCUGUCAAAACAAUGGGUAUUUGCAGUUAGGUCAGACUCCUUUAUGGCUUUAACCAGCUAUUUGCGGGUGAAAAGUCCUUGUUUGGAAAUUGGAAUGAACUUCUGAAUCACAUCACAGUGGUUAUAGUCUAGUGGUAAAAAUGUACUUCGUUGUAUUAACUUUAAUAAUUAAGGGGUAAAAGGCCUCUCCCCUUUUUUAUUUUCAGUUAACUGUAUUGCAUUUCCAAGCUUACUAAAAGUCCACUUGUACCACAGAAACUUCCAUAAACAUUUGGAACUGCACAUUUCAUGCAUUGCUUUUUUAGGUACCCUACCCCGAUUAAGUCCCAGGUAACAAUUGCAUUACAAAGACAAUCUAUACACGCAUCCUCAAAAACAUGAACAUCCUAUAAACAAAAGCAGUCUCCAUAGGCUACAAGAAUACAUAAUGAUUUUUCCCUCUUGAUUAUGAACUAUCCUCAUCAACAUCAGUUCUUCUAUACCACCUAGUAAACAUAGCUCUUCACAAACAUUCCUUUUUGGCUUCCUCAGACUCCCCCUCGCCAGUGUAUUUUCCAAGCUGAGCAAGAGAAUUGGCCUUUGCUCGGACAAGCCUUCACAUUCUCAUCUCUACCUCCCCAUGUCUUCAGGCAAGUAUUUUGAAGGGCUCUUGCAUAUAAGAACGAUACGUGCCAUGGGUUGGGAGCUUGGUUCAUUGCAUUCAAGUUCAGGGUUGCCUCCACUUCAGAUUGGAAUGUAUGUAUAUGAUGUACUCUAGGUCCACUUAUGUUUGAACAUGUUUAAUCACUUGCCAUGAUUCCUGGGACAGAUGGGGGAAUUCUUCGGUGGAGGAGCUUGAGAGUGUAAUCAGCAACCUGUUGAGGUGUGGCCUUAUCCUUGCACUCUGCACCAGGAGUGACCAUGCUGGGCUUCAGGAGAAUGCAUUCAAACAUGACAUUGUUCUCAGCAAGAUAGUAGAACACCUCAGCCCAAACCUUCUGAGCUAUCCAAAGGUCCUGUCAUCAUGGUCACCGUCAAGCAAGAUCUCAGGCUCUACAAUUGGGACCAAGCCAUUGUCCUGAGAAAUUGCAGCAUAGCGAGCUAGACCCCAGGCUGCUUCCUUCGCUGCAAG